ACUGGAGGAUCAAGAAGGCCGAGUCUGAUGAAGCUAGACUUUGCUGAUACACUCUUCCUAGACAAAGGGGUGGAAAAAGCAGCCCUUAUCAGAGAAAACCACAGGGUUGACUCUACUACCCAACUUUG